rnacentral:rRNA from 1 species
UACGAAGGGGGCUAGCGUUACUCGGAUUGACUGGGCGUAAAGGGCGCGUAGGCGGUUUGUACAGUCAGACGUGAAAUUCCUGGGCUCAACCUGGGGGCUGCGUUUGAUACGUGCAGACUUGAGUUCGGAAGAGGGUCGUGGAAUUCCCAGUGUAGAGGUGAAAUUCGUAGAUAUUCGGAAGAACACCAGUGGCGAAGGCGACUCACUGGACACGUAUUGACGCUGAGGUGCGAAAGCGUGGGGAGCAAACAGG